GAAUUCUGUCUUGGAGAUCAGCAAUACACUCCCAGCUUCAAAGAAGCCUCCUGAAGAUCCAAAUGCUGUUAAACCUACAACUGAAAGACAAGCAAGCCGUAACUCUUAUGGAAGAAGCCAGGCACUGAGAGAAGCUGUAAGGGGCGCUGCUGCGGAGAAAAGCGUCUCCCGGGUUGUACUGGAAGAGUAUUUUGGGGGGUGCCAGACAUAGGGCGCUCAGAGGACCCUCUGAGACGGAAUACUACCUCGCUCAGACGGAGCCCAGGCAGAGCCGGAAGCUGCCAGCAGGUGGCAGGAUCCGACCGUUUCCAGCUUCUGGGGCAGCUUGAAUUCUCUCCUCCCUGUAAUCAGCUGAAAUCAAGGCCCAGAAAGGAGGUGAGGAAGUCCGGGGUCCCAGUCCACGGGCCUGCCCUAAUCCCGGCGUCGUGGCACUUCCCAGUCCUCCUCUCGGGCCUGGACGGCGCUGCAAGCCCUGGAGGCAGGGGCCGUCCUCUUCCUCCCCGGUUUGUUCCCGAGACAGCUCUGUGACACCUGCUUACUCCUCCUCUGAGCCCCGCCUCCUCCGAGCUUCAGACCAUUUCCUCUGGACGGUUUCUCAGAGGUGAGGCCGCGCCGAGGAGCAGACCCUUCCCCUCCCUCCCCUGAGCUUCCUGCAGCCCAGGAAGCAAGGCCGGGCUCUCCUGCAGGGAACUGGGCUUCGCAUUCUGCCCUGCCACUCUGGCUGGCUCUCUCGGAAUUUCACCUACUUUUGCUGCUAAUUAACUUAAAUCAAUCGCCAGCACUGCGGAAAAAAAAGUGAAAAGAAAUAAAAACAAAAAUAGAGGGUUACUAAUAGUGCCUCCUUUCUACAAAUACAGCCUCAGUAAUCCUCGCGCUCCUC
rnacentral:lncRNA from 1 species